AUGGAGGGUGUAGAAGAGAAGAAGGUGGUUCCUGCUGUGCCAGAACUCUUAAGAAAAAUCGAAGGAAUUUCACAGAGCUGAAGAUCAAGUGCCUGAGAAAGAAUUUUGCCCAAAAGAUGCUUUGAAAGGCAAGGAGGAAGCUUAUCUAUGAAAAGGCAAAGCACUAUCACGAGGAAUACAGGCAGAUGUACACAACUGAAAUUCCAAUGGCGAGGAUGGCAAGGAAAGCUGGCAACUUCUAUGCACCUGCAGAAUCCAAACUGGCAUUUGUCAUCAGGAUCAGAGGUAUCAGUGGUGCGAGCCCAAAGGUCUGAAAGGUGUUGCACCUUCUUCACCUUCGUCAAAUCUUCAAUGGAACCUUUGUGAAGCUCAACAAGGCUUCAGUUAACAUGCUGAGGAUCGUAGAUCCAUAUAUUGCAUGUGGGUGCCCAAAUCUAAGUCAGUAAAUGAACUAAUCUACAUACGUGGUUAUGGCAAAAUCAAAAAGAAGCGAAUUGCCUUGACAGAUAACGCUCUGAUUGCUCGAUCUCUUGGUAAAUACGGUAUCAUCUGCAUGGAGGAUCUGAUUCAUGAGAUCUAUACUGUUGGAAAACGCUUCAAAAAGCAAAUAACUUCCUGUGGCCCUUCAAAUUAUCUUUUCCACGAGGUGGAAUGAAGAAAAAGACCACCCAUUUUGUAGAAGGUGGAGAUGCUGGCAGCAGGGAAGAUCAGAUCAACAGGCUUAUUAGAAGACUGAACUAAGGCGUCCACCAUGAUUAUUUUUCUAAGCUGGUCAGUUAAUAAAUAGUACCUGCUCUCAAAUUGAAAAAAAA